AUACCCAAUAAACCCAAAUCAAACACACAUACAGAUAAAUACACACACAAAAAGACAUAAGGAAACAUACAGACGUAGAAUACUUUAGAAUUAUUUAGUUGAAAGAAAAAAAAUUAACUAAAAAAAGAAAAAAAAAAUCAUAAAUGAAACUCGAACGCGCCUCUCGGUCAUUCCCUCGACGUCGCUGAAGGAGAUGGACGUCUUUGUUAUUUUUCCCUCAAUUAUUGCGUUUUCUUGGGUAGGAGAUUGGUCCUGUUCAUUUGGUGAAUGACGGAGAGCUCGGUAGUUUUUUGAUGGAGCUGGUGUGGUUGCAGUGCCAACAUGACUUGUGGGGAAGGUGCCAGGAGUGGUACUUUUAUAGGGAAUGGUUGACCUGAUGUUUCUGUCAAAAGUUAAAGGAUGUGUGUUCUGGUAUUUGGUUUCAAGGCUGACCUCAACCAGCCAAUGUGAACAUGGCUUGAAGAUGUGGUGAAAGGAAAUGUGCAAGCAGAAUUGGCACAAUAUAUAUAAAAUGGCAUAAGGAAGCUGUUGAGGUUUUGAUGCUGCCAACAUGAGCUAAAUGCAAGGUGUCCAGGGCUUAUGGUCAAAUUGAAGCACAUGGCUUGUCUGGAUGUGAAGUUUAACUUUUGCUUUGGUAUUUGAAGAUCACAAGCUGAUGGUAUUGACCAGUGACCGUGGACAUGAAGUUAAAGGUAAGACCUCAUUUUUCUAUUGGAUAUAAACUUUGAAUUACAUUAUAAAGUGAUUGUGUACAGGAUGAAAACCUUUAUUCAGAGCAUUGGGUUAUGAAAACCAUGAUUACGUUUUGACAUCUGAAAUGCUUCUUGUAGGAUUUCUCUGUGAAUCUGGCUUUGAGUCUAAACUUGUUCCUUGUUCCUGUUUUCAGAUGAUUGUGAGAAAAUAAGCAGACAGUGUUGCUAUUCGCACACGACCAUCAACAGUGCUACAAGGAUGGUCCAGAAGUAGCAGUUAGGUUGCCAUCAUUGACUGCAAAUAAACAUU